rnacentral:rRNA from 1 species
GUGGGGAAUUUUGGACAAUGGGCGCAAGCCUGAUCCAGCAAUGCCGCGUGCAGGAAGAAGGCCUUCGGGUUGUAAACUGCUUUUGUACGGAACGAAAAGGUCUGGGUUAAUACCCUGGGCUCAUGACGGUACCGUAAGAAUAAGCACCGGCUAACUACGUGCCAGCAGCCGCGGUAAUACGUAGGGUGCGAGCGUUAAUCGGAAUUACUGGGCGUAAAGCGUGCGCAGGCGGUUUUGUAAGACAGGCGUGAAAUCCCCGGGCUCAACCUGGGAAUGGCGCUUGUGACUGCAAAGCUGGAGUGCGGCAGAGGGGGAUGGAAUUCCGCGUGUAGCAGUGAAAUGCGUAGAUAUGCGGAGGAACACCGAUGGCGAAGGCAAUCCCCUGGGCCUGCACUGACGCUCAUGCACGAAAGCGUGGGGAGCAAACAGGAUUAGAUACCCGUGUAGUCC